rnacentral:rRNA from 1 species
UAGGGAAUCUUCCACAAUGGACGAAAGUACUGAUGGAGCAACGCCGCGUGAGUGAAGAAGGGUUUCGGCUCGUAAAACUCUGUUGUUAAAGAAGAACAUAUCUGAGAGUAACUGUUCAGGUAUUGACGGUAUUUAACCAGAAAGCCACGGCUAACUACGUACCAG